rnacentral:rRNA from 1 species
AUGCCCUGCAGCAAGGUUUUCUACUUUCACCGCCUCCUCUCGCUGAAGAUGGGAGGCUAUUACUGCUUGUUUCAAUUCUUGCUCAUCUAUGUUCUGCUCCACGGACAUCGCAGCUAUUCUCUGAACCAGGCAUGCCACCCCACUGACCUGGAGGCACUUCUUGCUUUUUCCAAUGGCUGGGACAGGAAGGGCGCCAAGCUCACCGGAUGGCAUCCCAACGACACUGCAUGCUGUUUCUGGACCGGCAUCUCCUGUGAUCUUGGGAGGGUUGUCGGGUUGGAUCUCUUCAACAAGAGCCUCCAUGGCGGCAUCUCCUCCUUGAUCACCUCGCUCGAUGGCCUCGUGACACUAAACCUCUCCUGCAACUCGUUCCAUGGUCAGCUACCAGAGGGACUUGGCCAGCUAGCGAGGCUGCAGAUGCUCGACCUCAGCAUGAACAUGUUCUCCGGGCUGUUCCCGGUGAGGGAAGAUGGCUUCCUAGCUAUUGAGAUGGUGAACAUCUCCUUCAACAAAUUCACUGGACCGCAUCCUACGUUCCCUGGCGCGAUGAACCUGGCGGUUCUUGAUAUCUCUAGUAAUACCUUCUCUGGUGGCUUCAACACCAGGGCCCUCUGUGUUGCGCCAGUCAAGGCCCUGCAAUUUUCCAGGAAUGAGUUCAACGGUGAGGUCCUCACCGGCUUUGGCAGAUGCAGGAUGCUCGUGGAGCUCUCUAUCGAUGGCAGUGGCAUCACUGGGAGUAUCCCCGGCGACCUGUACACGUUAUCAGAGUUGAGGAGGCUGAGUUUACGGGAAAAUCAGCUCUCUGGUAGUCUCAGCGAGUACCUGGGUAACUUCUCUCAGCUUAUUCAUAUCGACCUGUCAUAUAACAUGUUCACUGGUGUCAUCCCUGACGUGUUUGGGGGUUUGAGGAGGCUGGAGUUCUUAAACUUGGCCUCAAAUUUGUUCAGUGGCACAUUGCCUGCCUCCCUAUCGAGCUGCCCUAUGUUGAGGGUUAUCAACCUAAGGAACAACUCGCUGUCAGGUGAAAUUGCCCUAGACUUCAACUUACUGCCAAGGCUGAAUGUUCUGGAUGCAGGGAGCAACAUGCUGAGUGGUGCUAUACCUCCGAGUCUCAUGUGGUGCACCGAGUUGAAGACGCUGAACUUCGGAAGGAACAAGCUCAAGGGGGAGAUACCAGAGAGCUUUAAGCAUUUGCGAUCCCUGUCACACCUCUCACUUGCUCAAAAUGGCUUCACCAACCUGUCAUCGGCAUUGAGGGUCUUGCAGCACCUACCCAAACUGACGAGUUUAGUGCUUACGAAGAACUUCCAUGGUGGUGAGACAUUUCCAAUGGAUGGCAUCCGUGGUUUCAAGAGCUUGCAGGUGCUUGUCCUUGCAAACUGUGCACUCUCAGGCAUGAUCCAGCCUUGGCUGCAGAACAUGGAGAGCCUCAGAGUGCUGGACAUUUCAUGGAACAAGUUGAAUGGAAAGCUCCCAUCAUGGUUAGGCAAUCUGAAUAGUCUCUUCUAUGUCGACCUGUCAAACAACUCGUUUAGUGGGGAACUCCCCAAGAGCUUUACACAGAUAAAGAGUUUAAUUUCAAGUACUUAUUCAAGUGAGCAUGCAUCAAUAGAGGACCUCCCAUUAUUCAUUAAGAAGAAUUCAGCCGAAAAAGGUUUGCAGUACAACCAUGUGAGCAGUUUCCCUCCGGCGCUGAUCCUUUCUAGUAACUUGCUUAUUGGGCCAGUCUUGCCUGGCCUUGGGCAUCUUGUGCAGCUCCAUUUACUUGACUUAAGCUGGAACAACUUCUCAGGGCACAUUCCUGACGAGUUGUCAAACAUGUCCAGCCUGGAAGUGCUGAAUUUUGCCCACAAUGAUUUAAACGGGAGCAUACCAUCAUCUCUAUCGAAGCUGAAUUUCCUCUCCAAGUUUGAUGUGUCAUACAACAAUCUCAGUGGAGAUAUUCCAAUAGGGGGGCAAUUUACCACAUUCACAAAUGAGAGUUUUGUGGGCAAUGCUGCACUAUGCUUUCUUCGGAAUGGCCCCUGCUCUGGAGAGGCUCCACUUGAAGGAACUGGAAAUGAUGGCACCAAUACUGUAUCUGCAGUGUCUGCGAUGACAUACAUCACUGUGGAAGUGGGAUUUACUUUCGGGCUUUUAACCUUCUGGAACAUACUGUUUUUUGCAAGGGCUUGGAGGGCUGCGUAUUUUCUGACGGUUGAUAGGUUCUUUGAUAUGAUAUAUCUAGUGACAAUGGCGAAGGUGAACAAGUUCAGAAGAAAAUGGGAGGAUAAAGAUCAUCCUUGA